GACGAACGCUGGCGGCGUGCUUAACACAUGCAAGUCGAACGGAAAGGCCCUGCUUGCAGGGUGCUCGAGUGGCGAACGGGUGAGUAACACGUGGGUGAUCUGCCCCUUACUUUGGGAUAAGCCUGGGAAACUGGGUCUAAUACUGGAUAGGACCAUGCUGUAGGGGGUGUGGUGGACAGAUUAGUUUCGGUCAGGGAUGAGCUCGCGGCCUAUCAGCUUGUUGGUGGGGUAAUGGCCUACCAAGGCGUCGACGGGUAGCCGGCCUGAGAGGGUGGACGGCCACAUUGGGACUGAGAUACGGCCCAGACUCCUACGGGAGGCAGCAGUGGGGAAUAGUGCACAAUGGGCGCACGCCUGAUGCAGCGACGCCGCGUGGGGGGUGACGGCCUUCGGGUUGUAAACUCCUUUCAGCCAUGACGAAGCCCUUGUGGUGACGGUAGUGGUAGAAGAAGCACCGGCUAACUACGUG
rnacentral:rRNA from 1 species